UCUUCCCGGACCGGGGCACAAACCCGUGUGCCCUGCAUCGGCAGGCUGACUCUCAACCGCUGCGCCACCAGGGAAUCCCUAUACAACUUAUUUUACAAACUGAAAUAGUACUUGUUGCAUUUAAAGUUUGCUUUUGUCCUGUCUCUUCACGCGCUGUGUGAGCUGGUGCUGGUGAGUGGAGGUCCGCAUGUCCAGACUGGCAGCUUCUCUGCACGUGACACCUUAGCCUCCACGCCCUCCCCCCUCCUGCCCCACCGCCAUCAUUAUGCUACAAACAAGGAUCCAAAUUUACUGUAAAUAAGAUGCUGACGUCUAUCAGGAAUUUUUUUCCAGGUGACCUUAUUUGGGAGAAAAAGGAAUAUUUGUUAAAAGGGAAAAAAUGCAGUGGAACAGGAAGGAAAGGGAGGGAUAGUGUUUUGCUACUCUAGAGUAACUGAUGGAGGAUUCCUUUGGUGGGAGGAGUGGCAGGGGAAUUUUUACUGUUGUUUUCCGUCCUGUGGAUUUAAAUAAUUACCUUUCAUUAAAACCAUUUAAAGCUCUG